rnacentral:rRNA from 1 species
CAGCAGCCGCGGGAAUACAGAGGGUGCAAGCGUUAAUCGGAAUUACUGGGCGUAAAGCGCGCGUAGGUGGUUUGUUAAGUUGGAUGUGAAAGCCCCGGGCUCAACCUGGGAACUGCAUCCAAAACUGGCAAGCUAGAGUACGGUAGAGGGUGGUGGAAUUUCCUGUGUAGCGGUGAAAUGCGUAGAUAUAGGAAGGAACACCAGUGGCGAAGGCGACCACCUGGACUGAUACUGACACUGAGGUGCGAAAGCGUGGGGAGCAAACAGGAUUAGAUACCCCAGUAGUCCCUGUCUCUUAUAC